CUAAGUGGCGGACGGGUGAGUAAUGUAUAGUUAAUCUGCCCUUUAGAGGGGGAUAACAGUUGGAAACGACUGCUAAUACCCCAUACUCCUUUUACAUUAAUUGUAAUUGGGAAACGUUUUUUCGCUAAAGGAUGAGACUAUAUGGUAUCAGGUAGUUGGUGGGGUAAGAGCCCACCAAGCCAAUGACGCCUAGCUGGUCUGAGAGGAUGAUCAGCCACACUGGAACUGAGACACGGUCCAG
rnacentral:rRNA from 1 species